rnacentral:rRNA from 1 species
CCUAACACAUGCAAGUCGAACGGUAACAGGAAGAGGCUCGCUUCUUUGCUGACGAGUGGCGGACGGGUGAGUAAUGUCUGGGAAACUGCCUGAUGGAGGGGGAUAACUACUGGAAACGGUAGCUAAUACCGCAUAACGUCGCAAGACCAAAGAGGGGGACCAUCGGGCCUCUUGCCAUCGGAUGUGCCCAGAUGGGAUUAGCUUGUUGGUGGGGUAACGGCUCACCAAGGCGACGAUCCCUAGCUGGUCUGAGAGGAUGACCAGCCACACUGGAACUGAGACACGGUCCAGACUCCUACGGGAGGCAGCAGUGGGGAAUAUUGCACAAUGGGCGCAAGCCUGAUGCAGCCAUGCCGCGUGUAUGAAGAAGGCCUUCGGGUUGUAAAGACUUUCAGCGGGGAGGAAGGGAGUAAAGUUAAUACCUUUGCUCAUUGACGUUACCCGCAGAAGAAGCACCGGCUAACUCCGUGCCAGCAGCCGCGGUAAUACGGAGGGUGCAAGCGUUAAUCGGAAUUACUGGGCGUAAAGCGCACGCAGGCGG